GGUCCAUCUUCAUUCCCCUGAACAAGACAUAGCUUGUAUUUAUACAGACCGGGUUCAAUCCCUGGGUCGGGAAGAUCUCCUGGAGAAGGAAAUGGCAACCCAGUCCAGUAUUCUUGCCUGGAAAAUCCCAUGGACGGAGGAACCUGGUAGGCUAUAGUCAGUCCGUGUGGUCGCAGAGUCGGACACAACUGAGUGACUUCACUUUCACUUUCACUUUGUGGAAAGAUAUAUGCAGAUGGCAAACUUUUCGCAGAAACAGAGCAUAGUAGGGAGGUGGUAUCUCUUUAAGCUCUACUGGCUUCCCCAGGAAUUCUUGGUAAAUGAAAUAAAACCUAUCAAAUCAAAGAAGACAGUUUCCGAUUGCUGCUGAUUCAGGUCAUCUCUCUCUCCCUUUCACAUCCAAGCUGGUAUAUGGUGAAAACUGAUGUUUAUUCAGAAUGGCAACCCCAGAGCCCUGGGAGAUCGCCUCACUCACUGAGAAGAUAUUCGCUGAAUUUACCACACUGAACUUCCUGAGGCUGGAACGUAAAACACCACAUCUUGGAAAGAUUUUCAGCAAUAAUAUGUGAAACCAAAAGACGUCUUGGCCAGCCCUCAUUUAACCAAAAUAUCAUGUUAACUAAAAUAGCACAUUAACAGAGAAAUUCUGAUCGGGUGAGAUUCUACUGUGUAAACGGUCAUUUAAUUAUCUGCUAUUCUGGCUGACUUAUACCUC